rnacentral:lncRNA from 1 species
GAUGAAGUAUUUUUUAAUAUUCUCAAAACGAUAAAUAAUAGCGGGUAAAAAAACUUUGAAAAAAUAAUAAGUACUCACAAAAAGAUAUUUUCAGUAAUGUGUGUGUAUAUAUAUAAAUUCAAAUAUAUAAAAUGAUUGAUAUAAGUAUUUUUAUGAAAUCAAUGUUUGGUCCUCUCAUGGUACAGAAAUCAGCUUUAAAAAUAUCUAAUGUACUAUUUAUAUAAACAAGCAAGAUGGAAUAGUUAACUAUAACCAUACACUACGUACCCAAAUUAUAUAAGAGUCAGUUCAUUUACGCAAUCAGUGCAGGACCAUAAAAGGACACCACUGUCAUAGACGGACAAACAUUCGUUCCAGACAAAACAGAAGGUAUGGCACCGCCACCGCCCAGCCGUUUUCCGUUUCGAACUCUUAGGAAGAAAGGAAACUUCCUCGAAAUUUCAAGGCUCGCUAUUUUUAGAUAUCUAUCUGUUCUUUUAUCAAUUGAAAUUACGUUAAAUAAAACGAAAAACUAUUAUUAGUUGCACUUUACAUUCUCUUCUAAUAGUUUUCAUCCAAGGGUAAACCAGCUUACAAAGCAUUUUGUAUGUGUGGGCUCUGAGAAGGAUUGAGAUACACAGUCUUCCUCCAAUUUUUAGUAAAAAGACUGUUUGUGUAACUUACCAAAUUGAUGAAAUUUCACAGAUUUGGAAACAAAGGAAAAAUUUUUCAUGCAAACCUGUUAAAGAUAAUGAUAACAUUAUGAACAAAGAUUAUUUUCUGCCCGCAAGGAAUAGCUCAGCUGUAAAAUAAACAGAUGACUUCUAUAAGUUCUGAUGUGGAUAACUAAGAAUCCUGAAAGAAAAUUAACCUUAUAAACCAGAAAGAGAGCAUAUAAUGUACAAUUUCCAAAAUCGAAGAGCCAAGAAACUUUCGAGAUAUACACAAUAAAGUAGAUAUGUAUUUGAUUUGUUUGUUCCGUAACGGACUAGACAUAUCAUAUAUCUGCUGGGAAAAGCUUGUCUUAUUGUGGAUUAUGGAAUUGAAGAACAAGUAGAUACUUAAUUUUUGUCUACAGAUUAAUGAGUGGAGAUAUAGUUAAGAGGAAACUUCCUGGAAAUUGUGUUAGGGGGUUCUAUUACGAUACACAUGCAAGUGGGGCAGAAUCCCAUCAUAAGGUUUGCAGUUACCAGGAGUCAGUUUCUGGAUGGGCGUAUUUUCCAAGUGGUCUGUUUUUUGGAGGCAAGUGAUGAUUCAUAUACAUAUAUGUGUAAUUGAUUAAGAGUUUCAAAUGGAUAUAUAUAAAGUAAUGUUCAAAACAUUAUUGGUUGUUCCUUUUUCUUCAAAAAAAUCUAAAAUAUUAUUGAUUUUUACCAACGAAGUUCAGGGAAUGAGUGGUUCGACACUCUUCCACUAUCCUAAAUCAAUACUUAGCUAUAUAUCUACAACUGUAAUAUUAAUUAUUAUCACAUGAUUUUCCAUAUGGUCUGUAAAAGUUUAGCUUAGGAAAAUGGCUACAAAACAAGGAAAUAAUGGGAGAGGAUUUAGAAAGCUUGGGAGAUCAGCAGUGUCACUAAUAUGUAUAACUUGAAAACGAGGCCACAACAAGCAGAUUAUAAAACUUUACUUCAAAAUAGAAAUUAUAGAAAACUUAAACUAUAAUUGGAGUAUAUGAAAAGUUCUGGAAAUGGUAAUACCUUGAAAAUGAGGCCACACCAAGCAGAUUGUAUAUGGAUAAAUAAUAGGGAGGUAGAAACUGUAAUCACAUCCAUAAACUUCAUUAACAAGAAAAUGUUAAUCAAAGCUUUUGGAAAGUUAGCAGGAAAUUAGAAAUACCAAAUUAAUUUAAACUUUACUUCAAACAAGAAAAUAGAACAACUAUCGCAAAAUUAAAUCGAACUACUUACAGAUAAUCCCUUUAACAGCAUUUUGUUGCAGAAAAAUCUUGCAUACCCUGCUCACAAAAAACUAACUAGAUAACAAUUAGGAAGAUUUAUAUUUGGCCAAAAUGGAUAUUGUGGUAAUUUUAUAGAUGUAUGCACAUUUUAGUUUUUG